rnacentral:rRNA from 1 species
GACGAACGCUGGCGGCGUGCUUAACACAUGCAAGUCGAACGGAAAGGCCCUGCUUUUGUUGGGUUCUCGAUUGGCGAACGGGUGAGUAACACGUGAGUAACCUGCCCUUGACUUUGGGAUAACUUCAGGAAACUGGGGCUAAUACCGGAUAUGAGCUCCUGCUGCAUGUUGGUGGUUGGAAAGUUUCGGCGGUUGGGGCUGGACUCGCGGCUUAUCAGCUUGUUGGUGUGGUAGUGGCUUACCAAGGCUUUGACGGGUAGCCGGCCUGAGAGGGUGACCGGCCACAUUGGGACUGAGAUACGGCCCAGAAUCCUACGGGAGGCAGCGGGGGGGAAUAUUGCACAAUGGGCGGAAGCCUGAGGCAGAAACGCCGCGUGCGGGAUGACGGCCUUCGGGGUGUAAACCGAUGUGGAAGGUGACGAAGAGGGAGUGACGGUAAUGGGUAAAAAAGCACCGGCUAACUACGUG